AAAUUGAAGAGUUUGAUCAUGGCUCAGAUUGAACGCUGGCGGCAGGCCUAACACAUGCAAGUCGAACGGUAACAGGAAACAGCUUGCUGUUUCGUUGACGAGUGGCGGACGGGUGAGUAAUGUCUGGGAAACUGCCUGAUGGAGGGGGAUAACUACUGGAAACGGUAGCUAAUACCGCAUAACGUCGCAAGACCAAAGAGGGGGACCUUCGGGCCUCUUGCCAUCGGAUGUGCCCAGAUGGGAUUAGCUAGUAGGUGGGGUAACGGCUCACC
rnacentral:rRNA from 1 species